GUUUCCGUAGUCUAGUGGUUAUUACGUUUGCCUAACACGCGAAAGGGCCCUGGUUCGAAACUGGGUGGAAACA